CACAGAGUUAGCCGGUGCUUAUUCUGCGAGUAACGUCCACUAUCUCUAGGUAUUAACUAAAGUAGCCUCCUCCUCGCUUAAAGUGCUUUACAACCAUAAGGCCUUCUUCACACACGCGGCAUGGCUGGAUCAGGGUUCCCCCCAUUGUCCAAUAUUCCCCACUGCUGCCUCCCGUAGGAGUCUGGGCCGUGUCUCAGUCCCAGUGUGGCGGAUCAUCCUCUCAGACCCGCUACAGAUCGUCGCCUUGGUAGGCCUUUACCCACCAACUAGCUAAUCCGACUUAGGCUCAUCUAUUAGCGCAAGGUCCGAAGAUCCCCUGCUUUCUCCCGUAGGACGUAUGCGGUAUUAGCAUCCCUUUCGAGAUGUUGUCCCCCACUAAUAGGCAGAUUCCUAAGCAUUACUCACCCGUCCGCCGCUAGGUCCGUAGCAAGCUACCUUCCCCGCUCGACUUGCAUGUGUUAAGCCUGCCGCCAGCGUUCAAUCUGAGCCAGGAUCAAACU
rnacentral:rRNA from 1 species